rnacentral:lncRNA from 10 species
GUAUUUUUAGUAGAGAUGGGGUUUCGCCAAGUUGCCCAGGCGUGGUGGCUCAUGCCUGUAAUCCCAGAACUUUGGGAUGCCAAGGUGGUUGGAUUACCUGAGAUCAGGUGGAUUACCUGGUCUCGAGACCAGCCUGACCAAUAUGGUGAAACCCCGUCUCUACUAAAAAUACAAAAAUUAGGCUGAGACAGGAGAAUUGCUUGAACCCAGGAAGCAGAGGUUGCAAUGAGCUGAGAUUGCAUCACUGCACUCCAGCAUGGGCAACAAAGCAAGACUCCGUCACAGAAAAAAAAAAAAAAAAGAGAGAGAGCAUAGAGGAGGGUUGGCCAGCCCUGUGGUGGGUGGGAUGUCAGAGACACUUCCCAGAUAAAGUAAGAGUUAACCCUGCACCUCAGGUGUGAUAGUGGGGUCAGUGGUAUGUGAUCCAGGCUGGGGAGCCAGAGGGGAGCAGGUGCCAACUCCACAUCCUUCUCCUGUUUCUAGGCCCUCUCCUCCCUUGUCGGUUUUUGGCGGGGAAGCUCAGCCUUCGCUGUGGAGGGACGAGAGCACAGAGCUCUUCCUCCUGGUGGCCUCUGACCCCUGACGGCCUGUGGCAUCCUCCCUAGUCCCCUCUGCCCAUCCAUCCCUCUGUUCCAAUUCUCCACUGCUCCCAGCAUGAUCUGGGGCAUCUUGGCUUCUGGUUUCUUUUAUUAUUAUUAUUAUUAUUAAUUAUUGUAUUCCUGUCCUUCACUUUUUUCCUCCUUAGUUCCUGAAAGUAAACAAAAC